GUCGUUCCCGCCCCAGGCUUCGCCCGGCGCCAUGUUGGGUGCUGGCAAGAGAAGCCGAACGGCGGCGUGACUGGUAGGCGACGCUUCCGGGUGGAGCUGCGCCACCAACGCGAGGUGUGGUCAGCGUUGUGAUGCUCGCCAGUCACUGCAGCCGACCAGCUUGGGAUACCUACCAAGCCAGCAGAGUUGCAGAAUAUGCCACUGUCAAAAGCCGUUGAGAGGGCUCAGUGGGAAAGGCAUUUACCAUCAUAAUGGUGGAGAGAGAGAACCACUCCUGUUCUCAGACUUUGACAGGCGCGCACGCAUGCAAAAGAAAUGAAUGUAAUGAAGAAAAAAAAAAUUUUCGAGACAGUGUGUCACCUAACUCACUCUGUAGACCAGUUUGGCCUCGAACUCAAGAGAGCUGCCUGUUUCUGCAUGCGGUGCCACCACAGCCUGGCAGAAAAGAAAAAAAUUCCAAGAGUCAAGCUGCGCUGGCCCUCGCCUUUAGUAUGCUAGCAGAUGGAAGACAGAGGCUGGAGCAUUUCUGGGAGUUCAAAGCCAGCCAGAGCUCCCUAAUGAAAUUCUGUCUCAAAAAUCAAAAAUAAUACACCACUAGACCCUGGAAAGAAGGGUUUAAAUUUCUUGUGA